rnacentral:rRNA from 1 species
GUAGGUGGCAAGCGUUGUCCGGAAUUAUUGGGCGUAAAGCGCGCGCAGGCGGUUCUUUAAGUCUGAUGUGAAAGCCCACGGCUCAACCGUGGAGGGUCAUUGGAAACUGGAGAACUUGAGUACAGAAGAGGAAAGCGGAAUUCCACGUGUAGCGGUGAAAUGCGUAGAGAUGUGGAGGAACACCAGUGGCGAAGGCGGCUUUCUGGUCUGUAACUGACGCUGAGGCGCGAAAGCGUGGGGAGCAAACAGGAUUAGAUACCCUGGUAGUCCACGCCGUAAACGAUGAGUGCUAAGUGUUAGGGGGUUUCCGCCCCCCUUAGUGCUGGCAGCUAACGCAUUAAGCACUCCGCCUGGGAGUACGGCCGCAAGGCUG